UACGAAGGGUGCAAGCGUUACUCGGAAUUACUGGGCGUAAAGCGUGCGUAGGUGGUGAGUUAAGUCUGUCGUGAAAGCCCCGGGCUCAACCUGGGAAUGGCGAUGGAUACUGGCUCGCUAGAGUGCGGUAGAGGAGAGUGGAAUUCCCGGUGUAGCAGUGAAAUGCGUAGAGAUCGGGAGGAACAUCAGUUGCGAAGGCGGCUCUCUGGACCAGCACUGACACUGAGGCACGAAAGCUCGGGGAGCAAACAGG
rnacentral:rRNA from 1 species